CACAUUUGGACUGAGAUACGCCAGACUCUACGGAGCCAGCAGUGGGAAUAUUGCACAUUGGCGCAAGCUUGAUGCAGCGACGCGCGUGAGGGAUGAGCUUUCGGGUGUAAACUCUUUAUCGGGGAGCAAGCGAGAGUGAGUUACCGUUGAAUAAGCACCGGCUAACUACGUGCCAGCAGCCGCGGUAAUACGUAGGGUGCAAGCGUUAUCCGGGAAUUAUUGGGCGUAAAGGGCUCGUAGGCGGUUCGUCGCGUCCGGUGUGAAAGUCCAUCGCUUAACGGUGGAUCCGCGCCGGGUACGGGCGGGCUUGAGUGCGGUAGGGGAGACUGGAAUUCCCGGUGUAACGGUGGAAUGUGUAGAUAUCGGGAAGAACACCAAUGGCGAAGGCAGGUCUCUGGGCCGUUACUGACGCUGAGGAGCGAAAGCGUGGGGAGCGAACAGGAUUAGAUACCCUGGUAGUCCACGCCGUAAACGGUGGAUGCUGGAUGUGGGGCCCGUUCCACGGGUUCCGUGUCGGAGCUAACGCGUUAAGCAUCCCGCCUGGGGAGUACGGCCGCAAGGCUAAAACUCAAAGAAAUUGACGGGGGCCCGCACAAGCGGCGGAGCAUGCGGAUUAAUUCGAUGCAACGCGAAGAACCUUACCUGGGCUUGACAUGUUCCCGACGGUCGUAGAGAUGCGGCUUCCCUUCGGGGCGGGUUCACAGGUGGUGCAUGGUCGUCGUCAGCUCGUGUCGUGAGAUGUUGGGUUAAGUCCCGCAACGAGCGCAACCCUCGCCCCGUGUUGCCAGCGGAUUAUGCCGGGAACUCACGGGGGACCGCCGGGGUUAACUCGGAGGAAGGUGGGGAUGACGUCAGAUCAUCAUGCCCCUUACGUCCAGGGCUUCACGCAUGCUACAAUGGCCGGUACAACGGGAUGCGACGCGGCGACGCGGAGCGGAUCCCUGAAAACCGGUCUCAGUUCGGAUCGCAGUCUGCAACUCGACUGCGUGAAGGCGGAGUCGCUAGUAAUCGCGAAUCAGCAACGUCGCGGUGAAUGCGUUCCCGGGCCUUGUACACACCGCCCGUCAAGUCAUGAAAGUGGGCAGCACCCGAAGCCGGUGGCCUAACCCCUUGUGGGAUGAGCCGUCUAAGUAGCUCGCU
rnacentral:rRNA from 1 species